UACGUAGGCGGAAAAUUAAGUCAGUAGUGGAAUCCUGCAGCUUAACUGUAGAACUGUUAUUGAUACUGGUUUUCUUGAAUAUAGUUGAGGUAGGCGGAAUGUGUAAUGUAGCGGUGAAAUGCUUAGAUAUUACACAGAACACCGAUUGCGAAGGCAGCUUACUAAGCUAUGAUUGACGCUGAGGUACGAAAGCGUGGGGAGCGAACAGGAUUAGAUACCCUGGUAGUCC
rnacentral:rRNA from 1 species